GGGCCUUGUACACACCGCCCGUCACACCAUGGGAGUUGGUUUUACCCGAAGGCGCUGUGCUAACCGCAAGGAGGCAGGCGACCACGGUAGGGUCAGCGACUGGGGUGAAGUCGUAACAAGGUAGCCGUAGGGGAACCUGCGGCUGGAUCACCUCCUU
rnacentral:rRNA from 2 species